UGUCCAAUAGUUAAUAGUAGCUUCUUUUUUUUUUUCAAUUUAAGGCUAAACCCAGGGUUUAAAGUCUAAAUUGAACCAUACAAGGCUAAACCCAAGGCUAAGGGCUAAAUUGAACCUGCGAUUUCUCAAAUCCGUACCUCAAAGAGAACUAAGAAUCCUCACCUGCAAGGAAAGUGACCUCUCUACAAAUGGGCUCCGAAGAUUUAGAAGGAAAAGAAAUUUGGCGUUUGAAGGAGACAGGGAAAGUGAGAGAACGCUGCUCGAAGAACAUUAAUAUAGUGUUCAGGAAUAUUUGUGAGGCUUUUGCAGACUCUAGGGAACAUUGGUAUUUGAGAUGUUGAAUGUGGAGUGGUCUUCAGCUCACACCCAUAUAUGCAUACACUUAUGCUAAUGUUGUAUAAAACGUUUAGCAGCACAUGUCUCAGGGUUUAUAAAUUAUACAAUAUAUUUUUCGAUGGGUUAUUUCCUACGCUAGCAGAAAAACAACAGCAGUUGCCUUUCGUAUUUGUUUAAUGUACUCUUGCAGCAUAUAUUAUGGUUACUUUCCUUUCAUUAUUGAUUUAUGGACUGUUAAUGCAAAGAAUCUCAUGUAUGAUUCGUCUAAUUAGAGAGACUUAUUUUUCUCCGUUUGAUGUGUGAG